rnacentral:rRNA from 1 species
GAUGAACGCUGGCGGCGUGCCUAAUACAUGCAAGUCGAGCGAACAGACGAGGAGCUUGCUCCUCUGACGUUAGCGGCGGACGGGUGAGUAACACGUGGAUAACCUACCUAUAAGACUGGGAUAACUUCGGGAAACCGGAGCUAAUACCGGAUAAUAUAUUGAACCGCAUGGUUCAAUAGUGAAAGACGGUUUUGCUGUCACUUAUAGAUGGAUCCGCGCCGCAUUAGCUAGUUGGUAAGGUAACGGCUUACCAAGGCGACGAUGCGUAGCCGACCUGAGAGGGUGAUCGGCCACAAUGGAACUGAGACACGGUCCAGACUCCUACGGGAGGCAGCAGUAGGGAAUCUUCCGCAAUGGGCGAAAGCCUGACGGAGCAACGCCGCGUGAGUGAUGAAGGUCUUCGGAUCGUAAAACUCUGUUAUUAGGGAAGAACAAAUGUGUAAGUAACGAUGCACGUCUUGACGGUACCUAAGCAGAAAGCCACGGCUAACUACGU